UACGAAGGGUGCAAACGUUGCUCGGAAUUAUUGGGCGUAAAGCGCACGUAGGCGGCAUUGCAAGUCGGAUGUGAAAUCCCUCGGCUUAACCAAGGAAGUGCAUCCGAAACUGCAGUGCUUGAGUACUUAAGAGGAUCGCGGAAUUCCCGGUGUAGCGGUGAAAUGCGCAGAUAUCGGGAGGAACACCUAUGGCGAAGGCAGCUCGCUGGGACGUUACUGACGCUGAGACGCGAAAGCGUGGGGAGCAAACAGG
rnacentral:rRNA from 1 species